UACGUAGGGUGCAAGCGUUGUCCGGAAUUAUUGGGCGUAAAGAGCUUGUAGGCGGUUUGUCGCGUCUGCCGUGAAAAUUCGAGGCUCAACCUCGAACUUGCGGUGGGUACGGGCAGACUAGAGUGUGGUAGGGGAGACUGGAAUUCCUGGUGUAGCGGUGAAAUGCGCAGAUAUCAGGAGGAACACCGAUGGCGAAGGCAGGUCUCUGGGCCACUACUGACGCUGAGAAGCGGAAAGCAUGGGGAGCGAACAGG
rnacentral:rRNA from 1 species